UACGUAGGGGGCAAGCGUUGUCCGGAAUCAUUGGGCGUAAAGCGCGCGUAGGCGGCCCUGUAAGUCCGCUGUGAAAGUCAAAGGCUCAACCUUUGAAAGCCGGUGGAUACUGCAGGGCUAGAGUCCGGAAGAGGCGAGUGAAAUUCCUGGUGUAGCGGUGGAAUGCGCAGAUAUCAGGAGGAACACCAAUAGCGAAGGCAGCUCGCUGGGACGGUACUGACGCUAAGGCGCGAAAGCGUGGGGAGCGAACAGG
rnacentral:rRNA from 1 species